rnacentral:rRNA from 1 species
CCUACGGGUGGCUGCAGUGGGGAAUAUUGGACAAUGGGGGCAACCCUGAUCCAGCCAUGCCGCGUGUGUGAAGAAGGCCCUCGGGUUGUAAAGCACUUUCAGUGAGGAAGAACGCCUGGUGGUUAAUACCCAUCAGGAAAGACAUCACUCACAGAAGAAGCACCGGCUAACUCCGUGCCAGCAGCCGCGGUAAUACGGAGGGUGCGAGCGUUAAUCGGAAUUACUGGGCGUAAAGCGCGCGUAGGUGGCUUGAUAAGCCGGUUGUGAAAGCCCCGGGCUCAACCGGGGAACGGCAUCCGGAACUGUCAAGCUAGAGUGCAGGAGAGGAAGGUAGAAUUCCCGGUGUAGCGGUGAAAUGCGUAGAGAUCGGGAGGAAUACCAGUGGCGAAGGCGGCCUUCUGGACUGACACUGACACUGAGGUGCGAAAGCGUGGGUAGCAAACAGGAUUAGAUACCCUUGUAGUC